rnacentral:tRNA from 1 species
GUUUAUAUAGUUUAAAAAAAACAUUACAUUUUCAUUGUAAAAAUAAAAAACUUUUUUUAUAAAUA